ACGCUCGACACCUACGGGGAGGUAGCAGUGAGGAAUAUUGGUCAAUGGGCGGCAGGCCUGAACCAGCCAAGUAGCGUGAAGGAUGACUGCCCUAUGGGUUGUAAACUUCUUUUAUAUGGGAAUAAAGUUUUCCACGUGUGGAAUUUUGUAUGUACCAUAUGAAUAAGGAUCGGCUAACUCCGUGCCAGCAGCCGCGGUAAUCUGAGCGGGCUGGCAAGGC
rnacentral:rRNA from 1 species